rnacentral:tRNA from 1 species
GGUCUGUUAGCUUAGUUGGUUAGAGCGUGGUGCUAAUACCGCCAAGGACGUGGGUUCAAACCCCACACGGGCCA